GAUGAAGAACGCAGCGAAAUGCGAUAAGUAAUGUGAAUUGCAGAAUUCAGUGAAUCAUCGAAUCUUUGAACGCACAUUGCGCCCGCCAGUAUUCUGGCGGGCAUGCCUGUCCGAGCGUCAUUUCAACCCUCGAACCCCUCCGGGGGGUCGGCGUUGGGGACCUCGGGAGCCCCUAAGACGGGAUCCCGGCCCCGAAAUACAGUGGCGGUCUCGCCGCAGCCUCUCCUGCGCAGUAGUUUGCACAACUCGCACCGGGAGCGCGGCGCGUCCACGUCCAUAAAACACCCAACUUCUGAAAUGUUGACCUCGGAUCAGGUAGGAAUACCCGCUGAACUUUAGCAUAUCAAUAAGCGGAGGA
rnacentral:misc_RNA from 1 species